GACGAAGGAUCAAGCGUUAUCCGGAUUCAUUGGGUUUAAAGGGAGCGUAGGUGGUCUUAUAAGUCAGUGGUGAAAUCUCUGGGCUUAAACCCAGAAAUUGCCAUUGAUACUGUAGGACUUGAGUAUAGUUGCCGUUGGCGGAAUAUGGACAUGUAGUGGUGAAAUACAUAGAGAUGUCAUAGAAACACCGAAUUGCGAAGGCAGCUAACGGAAAACUAUAACUGACACUGAGGCUACGAAAGUGUGGGGGAUACAAAGCAGG
rnacentral:rRNA from 1 species